rnacentral:lncRNA from 1 species
GUGACGUGUGGCUCUCUGCAGUGGAUGGCUUUACCCAUUCUCAGCCUUGCCCUCCUCCCUCCCCAGAGGAUCCUGGCGCUUAAUUCCACCAUCCCUCAGCAUCCCUCAGUGGCCCCUCCGGCCAGCAGCGGCUGCUGGCGGUGGCAGGAUCAGGUCCCUGUGCUCAGCUGCCUGCCCUUCCCUUGGCUGGAGCUGAUCCCCUCCGAGACCAGCUGGCAGAGCUUCCCUCCGAUCCCCCAUGGUUGCCUUGCUCGUCCUGACGUGUCCGCAACAGUGAGAAGAUUGGGUAUACCCUGUACAAGACCUCAAGCUGGAUCUCAAACCCCGUACAUCUAGGAUCUUGAGAACUGGAAAGAAGCAAGGACCAUUGGGCUAAGUAUCUGCUGCAGACUCCUUUCUCAUCAGUACUCAGAAGUGGCACAGCUUGUUCGAAGCAAUAGCUGUGUGGUACGGUUGUAGAAAGAUGAGAUCUCUAUUACGUUUUAGCUCCUGCAGUGCAGAGUAAACAGAUUUGUGCUUGCUUUCCUCAUUCACUUCUUCCUCUGUGACUGCCUCAGGAUGGAGUAAAAAGCAAUGCAGUGGUGUGAUGGCUGCUUCCCUUGUCCCCAGCAAGCAGAAUAUUGUUGGUAGUAUGGGGACUGAGGGGGGCACAGAAACAGCCUGAGUUUGUUACCUUUUUGUAGCCAGUGCUUCUGGUUUCAUUGUACUGCGUAGCCGGUGGAGCUGAUACAUCAGGAUGCAGUGCUAAGCUUUCUCAGACUUACCACAGUUUGAAAUGCUGCUGAUUUCUGUUCCUGCCUGGCAUUUGGGAUCUUCACUGUUUGCAGGGGACCAACAAUUUGUUUGGUCUAUGAAGUCUGUAAAGUGUUUGAUCUCUACAGAAGUAAGCAGAAUGGUAAAGUGGAAAAUUAAUGUAGUUUUUGAUUGAAAACAUACCUCCUUGCUUGCAUCUACAGUAUUGGUAGUUUAUCUUGCUUCAGAAAUGAACACUACUUUGACCAGUCCACAUGGAUUUACUCUUGUGCACGCAGAUCAGAUUUGGAGGUGGCUGUUGCUGGUGACAUCCAAGACCAGUUCCAGAUGCACACAAAAACGGAUUUGCCCUGGUGGCCCCAGUGGCAGUGUGAACCGCAGAGCUGUGCUUCAGAUAUGGCGUGUGCCCAGCUUUGCCCUUAGAGCAACUGGGUGGCAGUCUGAGAGGUAAGUGGCUGUGCAGAGCAAAUGUGCUGAUGACAUCCAGAGUGUUUCAAAUAGCCGAACCGUAGUGGUGUCUGCACCCCACUGCUGCAAUUCAGAGACGUGGAUUUUGUGCAGACUCGGUGCUGCAGAGUCAAACUGCCUUGCACAUGUACCACUGGUAGGCAGCUGUGACCCUACAGACUUUCACAAAGGUUAAGAAUGAGUUCUCAUGAAGGUGUAAUUCAGCUCCAGGAGUUGCAGUCGAGUCUCCUUGACUGCAAAAUGAAGCUUUUUACUUUAUGAUAAUAUGAGCAAAAUAAAUAUGAGCAUAAUAAAUAUGAGCA